rnacentral:rRNA from 1 species
AACGACGCUGGCGGCAGGCCUAACACAUGCAAGUCGAGCGAUCCUUUCGGGGGAUAGCGGCGGACGGGUGAGUAACGCGUGGGAACGUACCCUUUGCUACGGAAUAGCCUCGGGAAACUGGGAGUAAUACCGUAUGUGCCCUUCGGGGGAAAGAUUUAUCGGCAAAGGAUCGGCCCGCGUUGGAUUAGGUAGUUGGUGGGGUAAUGGCCUACCAAGCCGACGAUCCAUAGCUGGUUUGAGAGGAUGAUCAGCCACACUGGGACUGAGACACGGCCCAGACUCCUACGGGAGGCAGCAGUGGGGAAUCUUAGGCAAUGGGGGCAACCCUGAUCUAGCCAUGCCGCGUGAGUGAUGAAGGCCCUAGGGUUGUAAAGCUCUUUCAGCUGGGAAGAUAAUGACGGUACCAGCAGAAGAAGCCCCGGCUAACUCCGUG